rnacentral:rRNA from 1 species
GACGAACGCUGGCGGCAUGCCUAAUACAUGCAAGUCGAGCGGAGUUGAUGGAAAGCUUGCUUUCCUGAUACUUAGCGGCGGACGGGUGAGUAACACGUAGGCAACCUGCCCUCAAGCUUGGGACAACUACCGGAAACGGUAGCUACUACCGAAUACUUGUUUUCUUCGCCUGAAGAGAACUGGAAAGACGGAGCAAUCUGUCACUUGGGGAUGGGCCUGCGGCGCAUUAGCUAGUUGGUGAGGUAACGGCUCACCAAGGCGACGAUGCGUAGCCGACCUGAGAGGGUGAUCGGCCACACUGGGACUGAGACACGACCCAGACUCCUACGGGAGGCAGCAGUAGGGAAUCUUCCGCAAUGGUCGAAAGCCUGACGGAGCAAUGCCGCGUGAGUGAUGAAGGUUUUCGGAUCGUAAAGCUCUGUUGCCAGGGAAGAACGCUUGAGAGAGUAACUGCUCUCAAGGUGACGGUACCUGAGAAGAAAGCCCCGGCUAACUACGUGCCAGCCGCCGCGGUAA